rnacentral:rRNA from 1 species
GACGAACGCUGGCGGCGUGCUUAACACAUGCAAGUCGAGCGGAAAGGCCUCUUCGGGGGUACUCGAGCGGCGAACGGGUGAGUAACACGUGAGUAAUCUGCCCUUCACUCUGGGAUAGCCACCGGAAACGGUGAUUAAUACCGGAUACGACACGUCCAGGCAUCUGGUGCGUGUGGAAACUUUUUGGGUGGGGGAUGUGCUCGCGGCCUAUCAGCUUGUUGGUGAGGUAAUGGCCUACCAAGGCUUCGACGGGUAGCCGGCCUGAGAGGGUGACCGGCCACACUGGGACUGAGACACGGCCCAGACUCCUACGGGAGGCAGCAGUGGGGAAUAUUGGACAAUGGGCGGAAGCCUGAUCCAGCAACGCCGCGUGAGGGAUGACGGCCUUCGGGUUGUAAACCUCUUUCAGCACCGACGAAGCGAUCCUUUGGGGAGUGACGGUAGGUGCAGAAGAAGGACCGGCCAACUACGUGCCAGCCGCCGCUGUAAUAC